GUGGGGAAUUUUGGACAAUGGGGGCAACCCUGAUCCAGCCAUGCCGCGUGCGGGAAGAAGGCCUUCGGGUUGUAAACCGCUUUUGUCAGGGAAGAAAUCCUUUGGGUUAAUACCUCGGAGGGAUGACGGUACCUGAAGAAUAAGCACCGGCUAACUACGUGCCAGCAGCCGCGGUAAUACGUAGGGUGCGAGCGUUAAUCGGAAUUACUGGGCGUAAAGCGUGCGCAGGCGGUUUUGUAAGAUCGAUGUGAAAUCCCCGGGCUUAACCUGGGAACUGCGCUUGUGACUGCACGGCUAGAGUAUGGCAGAGGGGGGUGGAAUUCCACGUGUAGCAGUGAAAUGCGUAGAGAUGUGGAGGAACACCGAUGGCGAAGGCAGCCCCCUGGGCCAAUACUGACGCUCAUGCACGAAAGCGUGGGGAGCAAACAGGAUUAGAAACCCUAGUAGUCC
rnacentral:rRNA from 1 species